rnacentral:rRNA from 1 species
CCGACGUCGCAUGCUCGCGGGCGCCAUGGCGGCCGCGGGAAUUCGAUUAGAGUUUGAUCAUGGCUCAGAACGAACGCUGGCGGCAGGCCUAACACAUGCAAGUCGAACGCUCGUAGCAAUACGAGAGUGGCAGACGGGUGAGUAACACGUGGGAACCUUCCCUUUGGUUCGGAAUAGCUCAGGGAAACUUGAGGUAAUACCGGAUAAGCCCUUACGGGGAAAGAUUUAUCGCCAUAGGAUGGGCCCGCGUCGGAUUAGCUAGUUGGUGAGGUAACGGCUCACCAAGGCGACGAUCCGUAGCUGGUCUGAGAGGAUGAUCAGCCACACUGGGACUGAGACACGGCCCAGACUCCUACGGGAGGCAGCAGUGGGGAAUAUUGGACAAUGGGCGCAAGCCUGAUCCAGCCAUGCCGCGUGAGUGACGAAGGCCUUAGGGUUGUAAAGCUCUUUUGGCGGGGAAGAUAAUGACGGUACCCGCAGAAUAAGCUCCGGCUAACUUCGUGCCAGCAGCCGCGGUAAUACGAAUCACUAGUGAAUUCGCGGCCGCCUGCAGGUCGACCAUAUGGGAGAGCUUCCAACGCGU